rnacentral:rRNA from 1 species
AUGUUGCUUUGGUUGCAGGCGUCUCACCAUAAUGCUCCAGUGCCCAACCUUUUCGUCUCGUAUGCUUUGGCCCAUAAGGCACCAUAUAGAACAGCCACGCCUUACGAUGAGAAUGACACAGCGUCCGCGUACUCCAGCAAGACCGCCUACGAUCGGAUGGAGAAAUUUAAAGGGGUGGCAAAAGAGUUGAAAGGGCCCGAGUAUGAUGUGACAACAGAGCCUCUUGACCACGCUUUGGUCAUGAUCUCUGGAGAAGGCAGGAAACAUGGCAAGGAAGCAAUUGCAGGAGGCAUGUUCCCUAGC